GCCCUCGCUCAGUGGAAGAGCCCCUGCUUGGCAAUGCAGAAGGUCCCGGGUUCAAUCCCUGCCGGCAGCA